AGCGGCGAACGGGUGAGUAACACGUGGGUGAUCUGCCUUGCACUCUGGGAUAAGCCUGGGAAACUGGGUCUAAUACCGGAUAUGAGCCUGGACUGCAUGGUCCGGGUUGGAAAGGUUUACUGGUGCGAGAUGGGCCCGCGGCCUAUCAGCUUGUUGGUGAGGUAACGGCUCACCAAGGCAACGAUGCGUAGCCGACCUGAGAGGGUGAUCGGCCACACUGGGACUGAGACACGGCCCAGACUCCUACGGGAGGCAGCAGUGGGGAAUAUUGCACAAUGGGCGCAAGCCUGAUGCAGCGACGCCGCGUGAGGGAUGACGGCCUUCGGGUUGUAAACCUCUUUUGACAGGGA
rnacentral:rRNA from 1 species